rnacentral:rRNA from 1 species
UACGCAGGUGGCGAGCGUUGCCCGGAAUCACUGGGCGUAAAGGGUGCGUAGGCGGCAGGGCAAGUCUGGUGUGAAAGCCCGGGGCUCAACCCCGGAAGUGCAUUGGAAACUGCUCUGCUUGAGUACCGGAGAGGAAGGGGGAAUUCCCGGUGUAGCGGUGAAAUGCGUAGAUAUCGGGAGGAAUACCAGUGGCGAAGGCGCCCUUCUGGACGGUUACUGACGCUGAGACGCGAAAGCGUGGGGAGCAAACAGG